UACGGAGGGUGCAAGCGUUAUCCGGAAUCACUGGGUUUAAAGGGUGCGUAGGUGGGCUUGUAAGUCAGCGGUGAAAUCUCCGGGCUUAACCCGGAAACUGCCAUUGAUACUAUAAGUCUUGAAUUAUCUGGAGGUGAGCGGAAUAUGUCAUGUAGCGGUGAAAUGCUUAGAUAUGACAUAGAACACCAAUUGCGAAGGCAGCUCACUACGGAUCGAUUGACACUGAGGCACGAAAGCGUGGGGAUCAAACAGG
rnacentral:rRNA from 1 species